UUACUCUUUACUCUCACUGCAGAUACUUCAGAGCCUCAAUAAACAGCCAUCAUUGCUCAGAGAAAGAUUGUUCAGCACGUCAUGCUACUACAGAUCGCCUGCAUGGGUCCAAAGGCUGUGAAGUAAGAAACAGACACAUCCUCUGAUCUGAAUGGGCAGAAACACAGCUGAUGAUGACAGGUUAUUACGACCGAGUCAGCGUUUGUGUGUGCCAGCAUUCUCUGGAGAACAAAACAAACCGAGGCUGUAGACUGACUUGUUGGACGCAGGACACGGUCGCUGUUAUCACGUGAUAACGCAUUUCAAACAAACUGUUCAUUGGGCUGUGCUACAGAGGUUUCUUCUCCUCAUCAUAAUUCCC